UGUGCAUCUUAUGAAGCAAUUUUUUUUUAGAUAUUUGCCUCUUUAGGAAUUGUAAAGUAUAUAUUUUCAUGUAUCAAAAUGAUCACACUAGCACUUUGAAAUUUACAAGCAAUUUUUGCCGGCUACACGACGGUAGCUUAUGUAGCAGGAUAUAGUGUUGUAAAAGAAACAAAUGACUAUGGUAUUUAUAGUGUCAAACUUACAUUUAGAGAGAGAGAGAGAG
rnacentral:lncRNA from 1 species